AUGGCGGACCUUGUGGUUGGCAUGGCCAAGUCGGUGGUGGAAGGGGCGCUAACCAAGGCCCAGGCGGCGAUUGAGGAGGAGGCCAAGCUGCGGCAGAGCGCGCAGCGUAACCUGGUGUACAUCACUGGCGAGUUUCAGAUGAUGCAGUCUUUCCUAAAAAUUGCUGACAGUGACCAUCUGGAGAAUGCGGUGGGGAGGACGUGGGUGCGGCAGAUCCGCGAUCUCGCCUAUGAUGUGGAGGACUGCAUCGAGUUCGUCGUCCACCUCGACAAGAAGAACAGCUUGUGGCUCCGCCUGAUCCAGCCUGUGAGCUGGUUCCUCAGGCCCUGUGUGAACCUGGGGCCGCUGCGGCUGGACGAGGCGGUAGAUGAGCUGGACCGGCUCAAGGCCAGGGUGGAGGACGUGAGCAGCAGGAACACACGCUACUGCCUCAUCGGCGACUCCGGCUCCAAGUCUACCACCACCACCACCACCACCACCACCACCGAGAAGCAGGAGCCGACUGCUUCCUCCCGCCCGCCGACGGCAUUCAACAGGCUCUUCGAGGCGGCAUUCAAGACCACCCAAAAAGGGCGUCAAUGGGAUCUCACCCAGCUGCUCACCAAGGAAGACCAAGACCUCGGAGUGAUCUCCAUCUGGGGCACCGGCACCGGCACCGGAGGUGGGGAGGGCCUUGGUUUGGCAUCCAUUGCCUGGAACGCCUAUGUUGAUAAAGAAACAUGCGAAAAGUUCGCCUGCCGUGCUUGGGUGAAGCUGAUGCACCCUUUCGAUCCCCUCAUGUUCGUCCGGUCCUUGACGGCCCAGUUCCACGCAACCUCUUACAAAGAGGAGCGCGGGAAGUUCGUAGGUGGUGUGCGAGUCCUGAUGAAGAUGGAGGCCGCACAAGGAGGAGAUUCCCUCAAGGAUUUCGAGCAGCUUGUCAUGAAAAAUAGGUUCCUCGUUGUGUUGGAGGACCUGUCCACCAUGGCAGACUGGGAUGCUAUCAGGAGGUUUUUUCCAAACAUGACGAAUGGCAGCUGCAUCAUCUUGUCCACCCAGCAAUUUGAGGUUGCAAGCUUGUCGGUGGGACAUCCAUACCAGGUGCAGCAUCUCAACCAGCUAUCAGCUGAUCACUCUGUUUACGCCUUCUUUACAAAGGUAUCCACUCUGGGUGACUUUGAAGAGCGACAAGACCUUACUUCAAUAUGUGGUGGACUUCCCAAAGUAAUAGUUGAGGUAGCAGGUUCAUUCGCCAAAAAGCCAGAUCGAUGGAAAGAUGCACUUUCAACAAAUAAUAAGUUUAUGCCAGAACUCGAGAACCAUGGAGAAUUUGAAAAUCUGAAGGGUCUGUUCGAUUGGAUGAAUUCGUACUUCCGCAAUUGCCGAGAUUCCCUCAAGCCAUGUAUCUUAUAUCUACCAAUUUUCCCUCGAAACUACCUCAUCCGGCGGAGGCGGCUGGUAAGGCGGUGGAUUGCUGAGGGUUACUCCAAGGACAGCCAUGAAGAGUCCGCAGAGAUGAACGGGGAGAAACAAUUCUGUGACCUCCUUAAUCUGAGUAUAGUCCAGCAGCCAUCUGCGUUGGGUUUGGGUGAGACAAGGAUGGUCAUUUGCCAAGUCAAUGGCUUCUUUCGUGAGUACAUUGUCUCACGUCAAAUGGAAGAGAACCUUGUGUUUGAACUUAGGGGCAGUUGUGCCUUAACCACCCAACGCACAGGGCGCCACCUUGUGAUUUCAAAAUGCUGGGACAGAGAUCAAACUGUGUUUGAGAGCAUUGACUUCUCUCGUCUGCGGUCACUAACAGUGUUUGGGAAAUGGAAAUCAUUCUUCGUUUCUGAAGAUAUGAAGCUGCUCCGGGUGCUUGAUCUAGAGGGUGCAUCCAAUGUAGAAUAUAAUGAUGUCAAGAAGAUGGUCAAGUUGAUGUGUCGCCUCAAGUUCCUCUCAUUACGCGGAUGCAAUGAAAUCUGCCAUCUGCCAAGUUCAAUAGGAGGUUUGAGACAGCUCCAGACCCUAGAUGUCAGACACACCUCCAUAGUCACCCUGCCGAGGAACAUCACCAAGUUGCAGAAUUUGCAGUAUAUCCGUGCAGGCACCACCACCACAGCAAAGACAGUGCCCCAACCGUCCAACCGCAGCGGCGUUCGUCGCCCGGAUGGUGUUGUGGCUCCUCGGGGUAUCGGAAAACUGACAGCACUGCACACGCUUGGUGUUGUCAAUGUCAGUGCUUCAGCAACAAAGGCUUUCCUAGAAGAUAUCAAGAAGCUGACCCACUUGCGCAAGCUUGGAGUGUCUGGCAUCAACAAGAGUAACAGCAGCAAGUUUGUCCUUGCAAUCACGGCUCUUGUCCGUCUGGAAUCAUUGUCAGUGUGGCUCGAGGACAAGAAUCAAGAUUGUUUGGAUGGUAUAAAACUAUCACUGCCUGUGGGGAGCCUGAGGAGCCUGAAACUGCAUGGGCUUGGAGACCGGUUGCCGAAGUGGAGAGAGCAACUCACCAUGCUCACAAAGAUGGAUUUGGAAAUAGUCAAGUUGACAGAAGACCAUGUCUCCCCGCAUUCAGGACUGCUCACACCAGAAGGAAAAAAGAAACCAACUAAGGACGUCAUCAAGUUCCUUAGCGAGCUGCCAAAUCUGUUUAUUCUCCGGCUUCGUGUUAAGGAGCUUCAAAAUGAUGAGCUCAAUGUGUCUAUCAUUACCAAUGACCUGGAGGAAGACUCUUUCAAGAAAAUGAAGAUCUUCGAGAUUGUCUUCAGCUCCAGUUCCAGCUCCAAAGUUACCUUUGGAGAGAAGACGAUGAAAAAACUUGAGCAGCUGACGGUUGACUUCUGCAGUGGCUCCUCGUUCUUUGGCCUAAAGAAUCUACGUGAACUCAAGGAGCUCCUGCUCAAGGGCUCCAGCUGUGACGAAGCAUUGAAGGCGGAUCUCCUCGCAAAGCUUGAGAACCACCCAAAGGAAAAGAAACCUGUUGUGAAGAUGGAGGAGCCUCUUCGUCCUGAUGAAUCAACAGUUCAAGGUGGUCAUAAAUUUUGCUGUUAG
rnacentral:rRNA from 1 species